rnacentral:rRNA from 1 species
GUAGGGAAUAUUGGACAAUGGGCGAAAGCCUGAUCCAGCAAUGCCGCGUGUGUGAAGAAGGCCUGCGGGUUGUAAAGCACUUUUGGCGGGGAAGAAAGGUUCGCGAUAAACAGUUGCGGGCUUUGACGUAACCUGCGGAAAAAGCACCGGCUAACUCUGUGCCAGCAGCCGCGGUAAUACAGAGGGUGCGAGCGUUAAUCGGAAUCACUGGGCGUAAAGGGUGCGCAGGCGGCUGGACAAGUUGGGUGUGAAAUCCCCGGGCUUAACUUGGGAAUUGCAUUCAAAACUGUCCGGCUGGAGUAUGGCAGAGGGAAGCGGAAUUCCGGGUGUAGCGGUGAAAUGCGUAGAUAUCCGGAGGAACACCGGCGGCGAAGGCGGCUUCCUGGACCAAUACUGACGCUGAGGCACGAAAGCGUGGGGAGCGAACAGGAUUAGAAACCCUUGUAGUCC